rnacentral:lncRNA from 10 species
UCUUCUUUCCUCUGCGAACGCGCUGAGCAGCGAUUGAAAACGUUUUGGUCCUCUGCAGGUUUGAACAGGGCUAGCAGGUCUCUCUCCGGAUUUCUAGGGCUAUGGCUCCCGAAAUCGUUUCUCUGGACGCGGCAGUAUCCGCAGCGCAUGCACCCUCCUCUGGACUUCCGCAGCCCAGACCUGCGCUUACAGUCAUCGCGCCACCCCCUCCCCCCGGGCUGCGGGCCCCGCGCUCCGUGGGCUCAGGGUCCCCUCCGCGUCCCCCUGAAGCCUGGGGACGGAGGUCGCGACCGGCCGACUGGGGUCCUGUCCUCUUGUCACCUUGUAUCCCUCGCAUGCUCCCUCCCGCCUCGUGUCCCUCUCCCCACCCUCCCCCUCCUCUCUCCCGCCUCCCUAACACUGCGCUUUGAUUCUGUUUUUCAGGGGCGCAUUCUGGGGUCUCUGCGCAAGACCAGCUCUCAGCUCUCUCUCCUUUCCUCGGACUCUGGAGCGGGAGCGGGCCUUUCCCUCGGGUCGACCACGCCGUAGGGGACGCCGUGAAAAGAGCCGUCGCGCCCGCUGCCUCCUGCCCGCUGCGCAGAGGGCUCCGCCCGUAGAGGUCAACUUCCCUCACCCUUUUCUCUCUCCUGCUUGCCCUCCCUCCGCCCGGCCCAGGCGCUUCCAGCCCCAGACUGUGGCCACUGGCUGAGGAGUGCGAGUCGGCUGCGCUGCCCUGAGCCUAAUCCCUCUUCCGGGCCCAGACCCGAGGUCCGCGCUCCUGGGCAGUGGGGAAGCUUUAGUGAGCAGGCUUUUCUCUCCGCAGCAAACUUGUAGCCAGACCAGAUGGGCCGCCCAGCUCUCUCGGGACUAGGCAGGUGCGGAUGAGUUAAUUUUUCCGCAUUACAAAGAAAGAUGACCCAGCCCGCCCUUGGACUCUCUUUUCCCAAAAUCUCCCAACCAAACCCGCGGUAACGUUAUCAAAGGACACAGAGCCCAGGCAUAUCUGUGUGUUUAUCUUACAGGCACACACGCAUGGUUUUCUCUUUUAUAUGCUAGAUUUCAUCCCUGACAGCAGAAAAUGAUUGGCAAUGGUUAUGACGGAGAACAUGCAAUAGCGUGGUCCUUAAAAACCUGCCAUUCCUUACAAGUGCCUUAGAAAGGAUUCAGGGCGAACCAACUGGGUUAAUUGCAUUCAGUAAAAUAACACGAUUACAAAA